AACGAACGCUGGCGGCAGGCCUAACACAUGCAAGUCGAGCGAGGACUUCGGUCCUAGCGGCGGACGGGUGAGUAACGCGUGGGAACGUGCCCUUUGCUACGGAAUAGCCCCGGGAAACUGGGAGUAAUACCGUAUGUGCCCGAGAGGGGAAAGAUUUAUCGGCAAAGGAUCGGCCCGCGUUGGAUUAGGUAGUUGGUGGGGUAAUGGCCUACCAAGCCGACGAUCCAUAGCUGGUUUGAGAGGAUGAUCAGCCACACUGGGACUGAGACACGGCCCAGACUCCUACGGGAGGCAGCAGUGGGGAAUCUUAGACAAUGGGGGAAACCCUGAUCUAGCCAUGCCGCGUGAGCGAUGAAGGCCUUAGGGCUGUAAAGCUCUUUCAGUGGGGAAGAUAAUGACGGUACCCACAGAAGAAGCCCCGGCUAACUCCGUGCCAGCAGCCGCCGUAAUAC
rnacentral:rRNA from 1 species